rnacentral:rRNA from 1 species
GAGUAGGGCGGGACACGUGAAAUCCUGUCUGAAUAUGGGGGGACCAUCCUCCAAGGCUAAAUACUCGUAAUCGACCGAUAGUGAACAAGUACCGUGAGGGAAAGGUGAAAAGAAUCCCGAAAGGGUUGUGAAAUAGAGCAUGAAAUCAUUAAUUUACAAACAGUAGAAAAAUAAUUUAUAGUUUAACUGCGUUCCUGUUGAAGAAUGAGCCGGCGACUUAU